rnacentral:lncRNA from 1 species
UUAUUAUUUAUCUCCUACCUUUGAAGAUUGUUUAUGUUUUUGUAGUGUGGUGCAUUUAGGUGUUAAGUAGCUCUAUUUUGUGACCUGUAUGUUAGGAGAAAACAAAGAAAUCCUGAUGAAGCCAUUGCUCCCAACUAUUGAACCUCUGGAGGGCCAUUGCAGUGAAACAGAACCGUAUAAAGGCUGCUGAUACAAAUGGAUCAACAUGCCUGUAGCAUACAGCGAAUGAAGACGUUUAAACACUUGGUCACAUUUGUCACAGUUCCUAACGGGUCAAAUGAGGAUUCUGGCGGAUAGACAUAGGUAUUUAAGCUUUUCUCUGGAAAUAUUGUGCAAAAUCAAACACCACAGGCAGAAAACUUCUCGUUUAGCUGCAGUUAAUUCCGUUUUAUUGUAACGCAUAAAGAGAGGUGAGGGUUGGGCGCUCGAAAAGAGUUCCCAGUUGGCACGUGCUGGAGCAUAUGGUUCUGUUUUUGAGUUGCUGCCAUUGUAAAUUAAGGCAAAGCUGUUUUCCCCACUUAAAUUCUUUUCUGCUGGGAAAGUGAAAAACUCAUAGGGGAGUGCCUCCUCUGCAAUCAUGCGGCAUUGCACAAACACGGUAAGACUUGUAUUGCAGGCAGAGUACCUUCCCUCUCCUUUCUGAUCAUUUAGAAGUAACUUAUCAAGAGAUAAAAAGGGAGCUUAAAACAAAAUUUACAUCUCAUACUGCUUGCGAUUUGCUUUACCCUUCUCUUAUUACACCUUUCAUUAUUUCAAAAGUUGCUGAACAAAGCCUCAAGUGAUGAUUACAUAGUAGAAUUAUUUAAAUAUAAAAACAAAAUUAGCAGAACACAAAAAUUAAAAGUAAUUUGUUACAUCUGUAUCUCAACCUGAAAGAACCGCAUAAAUAUUACUACAAAAAAAUUUUACCAAGUAAUGUAGGGAAUGGAAAAUAUAUCUAUAAUUUAUAAAAUAAAUGGUGAAAAAAAAUGCUGAGAAUUUUCUAAUGCAUUUCCAUGGUUGAAGAGGCCUUAAUAUUGUGGUAUCUGUAAACGGAUAUCGUGCAAAGUACCUACUUGUCUGAGUAGUUACCUGUUUAACUCUUCCGCAUUUUGGUGGAGAGAUUUCCACCUCGGAUCCAGUGAAAAAAUUAGUUUAACUCCCACACGGCUUCAUCUUGUUUGGCUUUGCCCCUGCCUUUGGGGCGACCAAACUGUCUGGCAUUUUUACUUGACAAAAACUUCAGUCCGGCUUGGAGUGUGAUCUUUUUUGGGUCGACAUUCUGUGGUCAAAAUUGGCAGUAUAUUCGAGAGUUAAAAAUACUACAUGGAGAUGCCAUCAACAGAUUGUAAUAUCAAGAAAAAGACUUGUUCUUCAGUAAGUAAAAUAAAGAAAGGCAAAAAAGAAUCGAACUCACAACUGUAAAGGCUUGUGUGUAUAAAUAAAUAGUAGGAACCAAGUUCAGAAUCAUCCGUGCAAGAGAAACAUGAUAACCAACAGUAAGGCACACACCUUUGGCACUGGAGAGACAGUACGCCGAUGUUUAAUAGAAAAUCCGAACUUUGAAUGCGCCAGCAGAACAGGCUGAUUAUCAUCUGGGUGAUUACCCUGCACGGCAAAAUAUAAAUAUGCAACUAGUCAGCUUGUGGGGAUAAUUAAAUGGAAAGAACAAACCAACUGUCAAUAUCUGAUACAAUGAAACAUAGAGAUGUAUACCAGAAUGAUAGGAUACUGCAGCAGGUCAACAGCAUCCUCUAAAGUGAUUGAAUCAACAUCUUUGACCUGAAAUAGGCAGAUCAAAAUAGGUGUGAUAACGAUUUCUACUUAAAAAUCAAGUAGAAAUCAGAAAACUUGUCCUCACCGUCUUUUUCUUAAAAUAAAAGGAGAAGAUUAUGUAGCAUCUUUACUUGAGCUUUUCAACAUGCAACUGAAUGUUCAUAAAUUAUUUGCUUUCUUUAGUUUCAAAACUAAUAAAUUCUGCCUGGCAUUAUCCAUUCUAGGUUUAUUCGAAUACUGCAUUCUUCUUCCUCCAGCUCAAAUUUCAAAUUUAGCUAAAUACACUUCAGCGGGGAGGGGGGAAAAAAAUUUGCAUCAAGAUCUCAGGACAGUAGCUUUUUUGACAAACACAAAUUUAUCCACACAAUAUACACCAAGAAAUAUUCACGUGAAAAAUAUGUUGCUAGCAAACCUCGGACACAGAAGCUCUUUUUGGAGUGUACCCCUUUUUGUCAUCCCCUAGCUGGACAUAGUAGCCAUAAGGACCCUUUUUCAAGAAGACCUGGAGAACAUAGUGAAAGGAAGCUAUUAAUAUAAAAGGAGAAAAAUGUAAAAAGAACGAAAAAGGUUCAAGGGGAGUAAAGCACUUCAACACCUUUUGCUUAGAACCUGGCAUAACACCUAGCAAUUUAGGUGGAAACGAUUUAUCUGGUUUCUCAGAAGUGUCGGUUUCGUCAUCCUCAGUAAAUAAUGUGCUGGCAAUAUACCUGUAUAAAAGGUGCCAGUUGAUAAGAAAAUACUAAUAAAUACACACUAAUCAUCAUGAAAGGAUAUAGAGAAGGAAAAGAGUACAUACUUGCACUUGGGAUGUUGGUCACAACCUAUAAAAUAACCGGCGCCAAACCUACUGACCUUAAAUCUCAAGGUUCCUUCUGAACAACUGCAAAGUUCACGAGGGUAAAAUAUUAUCUUAUGCUUUGAGUCGAGUAUGUAGCAAUAAAACAUGUUUUUGCUGAAGAGACAUCAUUCCAGAACCUAGAAAGUUCAUUAUGCUCUAAAAGAUAAUUUAAUGAACAACUAGUUUCACAAAACUUCACUCUAAACUACAAGGAACCUUACACAAUAACAACUUUACCAGCAACUUAAUCAAAAAAUAUAUCUCAGAAACAAACCUCCUACAAAGAUACAAGCAAGUGAAGAAAUGACCAUACCACAGUAUAAUAAAAAGAUUUUUGUUCGAGUCAAGUAGGAAAGGAAUGAAAUGCUGCUCUUUCAAGAAUUUUGCCUAGUAUGCAGAAGAAACUUAUAUCCUUUUUAUUUUUAUUUGUUUAAAAAACUCCUUUUCAGCAGAAUUACUAUCAUUUCUUGGUUUUCAAAAUCACCCUGCAAGGAAAAUAUUGGUAUUCGUAAAAUUCCAUACUUGGAUGGAAACAAUCAAUUUCUGGAUAUCAAGAUUUGUUCAUCACUGUCAAAAAAUGUGAGCUGAUAACAAUGCCAAGUUGAUGAGAAACAAAAUUACUACUGUGCAUACCGAAAGGCGAUAGUAAUCAGCACUAAUAGAAAGGUAAUCCACGUCACAAACUAUCUAGCACAAAAUAAACUAAACAAUUCUCAUCAUAAGAAAACAGCCAUAGUAGCAAUACCUAGGGCACACCCUGCUAUUAUUAGGAAGGGCAGCAAACAAUAUAUCACUGAAUUUGUCUUCCAGCAUUCUCUCUAUCUGCAAGAAACAAGAUAAUAGUAUACCAAAAAGAGAAAAGAAAAGAAAAGAAAACAAUGCAGAGCAAGGUCAAAACUGUCGACUGAUUAAUAGCAUAGCAGCACCUGUCUUAUAUCAGUUUUACUAGCAAGAUCACAGUACUUGCUGAAGCGUGACCAGUAAUCUUUCGUAAGACCCUUCCACUCUGUUGCCCCAGCAGAGACAUUAUCUAGCUGAUCAAACAACGAAAAAUGAAGCAUAUUAGAAAAAGAUUGCCACUCAUAAUUAGAAAACUAAUACAAGCAGAAGCUGGCAAUAUGCAUAUAUUUUAGGCAAAAGGAUAAGAUAUCCUUUCGCACUAAAUAGUUUUUAUAGAUAAAAUCACUAUCAACACUCGUUUUGUCAUGUAUAUAUAAUCGCUACUUGUCUGGAAUUGUCAAUCAAUACAAAAUUAUAAAAACAUAAAGUUGUUAAUAAUUAGGCAGGGCACACUUAAAACAGAGGCCACAAAAAUGAUGUCCAGUGACAAUUCUAUUUUUGUGAGCAAGAGGUCUCUCAAAAUAGAAACUUGCAAAUUAAGAUUCCACAAUGCAAUCAAUGGAUUAGAGUACUCUUUCAGCAUGUAAUAGAGAUGCUGUAAAGUCGCUUAUACACAAUAAUCAUAAGCACUAAAUACCUAAAAGUUUUUUGCGCCAAUUAUAUAUCUCCAUCAUGAAUACAAGCCUGCGAGAAGAAGUUAUUCCCACAUAUGAAGAAUUUACCAUACUGAUACACUAUCCGUAGUUGCCAUCAAGACGGACUAUUGGACACAAUAAAAUGUCAUCCUGAAUAUUCUAAAUGCUCCAUGUGGGAAUUCUCAUUACAUAGAUAUAAGUCUAAUUCAAGAGUUACUCUUAAUGGCGCAUAACUAAGCUAUGGAUCAGAUUCGAUGAUAUUUUACUUUCUGCGACAUGUUAAGAAAUUGAAGCACUAGGAAACAAGAUUUCACUUCAUUUAUCGUGAAAAAAAAAUGAUUUUAUGAAAAUAUUGUCAUCUAGAUGACUACCAUUAGUUACACAAGAAAAUGCAUAUUCAAAACGCAUAUAUGAAGGUGUCAAGAAAGUACCUCGUUCUCCAUAUCAGCAGUGAAGCUGUAAUCAGCAACCUCAGAGAAAUGGUGAGAAAGAAAUGCUGAGACCUAAAGAUAAUAUUUAGCAGAAACAAGUUAGGUACUACACAUCCAAAAAAGAUGCUGAGAAAUAUAGCAAAAUAAAGAAAAAUAAAAUAUUACCUAUACAAAAAGAAUUGAUGACAGAAAAGACCCAAAAAAAAAGAAGCUGAGAGAUAUUGAGAAAAAGCAAAGUAAAAUAUUACUUUCACAAAUGAAUUGAUGACAGAGAAGGGGGAAAAAAUUCAAAAAAACAAAAAGAUAAAAGCUAAAGUUGCCUCUGCCAAAAGACCAAGAUGUCUAUUAAACAUUCAAACAGUGCUAGCCGCCAAAACCAUGAGAACAGACAAAGACUCCUUUGAGGAAGAAUUGAAAAAUCAAUAAACAAAUUAUUCUUAAUUUUUCCUCACUGAAGAGGUUGUGCUAAAGAUCAAUUAGUUAUUAUGGUUAAUGCACGAAGUCAAGUCAAGAAAAGCAUAUUAUAGUAAACUGCAUUACAAGAGCAGUAUAACACAAACAAAAACUGACCCUUCAAAUUAAACAAUUCGGGUGUUGUAUGUUGUAUAUAAGUGAGCAGCAAUAAUAACUGGGAACUAACAUACCAUGCGACCGCGAAACUCAGGAUGCAGAACUCGAUUUUUCAUCGUCACGUAAUUUCUGUCCUGAUUACCACAAGAAGAAUUUGACCUUUUAUACUUGAGACAUAUGUCAUAAUCAAAUAUAAUAGAUGAACUAAAAUAGUAGAAGGUUCAGCUUUACAGAACUCAAAACUUCAACAUGAAAUGAUAUUUCUAAGACAAAAUAAGUUCAUACUACUGUUCAUGUAUUGAUUUUUAUUUUUUUUCGAGAUACUGCUAAUUGUUUCCUAUAAAGCGGCUAAACUGCAAAAAUCUAAAUCCCAGCUCACACACCAAAAUAUACAUCAACGAACAAAACCAUCUUUAUUUCCGUUGGUGCUGGAGCAAAUUUUUUGGGUGGGUCUGUGCUUGGUUAGACAUGUAAUCUCAAGCAGUGUAAUUCAGUAAAUUGAACUUGAUUCUCAUCUCUUCAUUAGCUCUCAGCUUUCUAAUCAGAUGUUCCCAGAUCUCAAGCAGUGGUUAAUAGCAACUAAUAAAGUGUAUUGAAAACUAUUGGUUAGACAUGUAAUUUCAAGCAGUAUUAUUCAGUAAAUUGAACUUGAUUCUCAUCUCUUCAUCAACUCACAGCUUUCUAAUCAGAUGUUCCCAGAUCUCAAGCAGCGGUUAAUAGUGACUAAUAAGGUGUAUUGAAAACUAUGGGCAAGGAAUAAGGGAAUAUCCUACAAUCACACAAACAUAAACAGACAACCAUAUGCUUCAUGAAGCCACGUUGCAUAUCAACACAAGCUCAGGCUAUAAAAAUUUGCAUGUGUAGAAGCAAGUCCCCUUAAAUUGUGCAAAUUAACUACAUGAAUAAAGACCACAAAAUAUCAGCAUUCAGAUGCUACAUGUACUAAACAUUUCUCUGUUUUAUGUAUCUUUCACCUCCUGAAAACAAAUCUCGUUAAUUUUCAAUGUGUGAAAAUUAUUUACCAGAAGUUUUAUUGUAGAUCAAGAAAUUAUAAACACAUCAUGCUUCAAUUCAUUGAUACCAAUCACCUCUGUCAGAAAGCUCAUGAUUGGUAGUCUCUUUUUAUCUCAAUCUGAAAAUCACCAUUAUUAUAUAUACGAGAAAAAAAAUAGGGAGUAAAAGAGACCAAAAUUUAUACUGGAAAGGGGAGAAUUAUGCUACAAUACCAACAAAUAUAACCCUUUGAUAAGCCAAGGAAUUUAAAAAGAUCCAAGAUAGAACAAUUACCUGCAGCACUUUCAUAAUAGAAGCAUAAGUAGACGGUCUUCCAAUUCCAAGUUCUUCUAGCUUUUUAACCUGGACAUGCAAAGCUUUAAAAAUGAACAAAUGGAGUAACUGAAUAUUCUGAACCGGAAAAAACCCUUUCUUUUUUUUUGACAGCAAAAAAUGAAGCAACUGAUGUUUCAUAACAACAAACAAAAGAUAGAAUGUACUGACCAAUGCUCCCUCAGAAUAGCGUGGCGGAGGCUUAGUGUAGUGUUGUCUAAGAUGCACCUCAACCAAAGAUAAAGAAUCCUUAACCUGCAGAAACAAAAUGAUAUACUGGUAAUGUGGUGCAAUAUACGGCCACUCGUACAAAGUAAUGAGCAAUAUCUUACACAUAAAUCCAGCAUUAAAAAGAAAGCCACGUAAUCUAAGUACAAUAUGAUGACGUUGAUCCAACAGAUGCAGUUUGUGGUAAUGGCUGACUAACUACCAAAAUCAUUUUCAAUUUAUGCAGAAUUCAAAUUACAAUGCAUUAAAGAACACUUUGCUGAUUACUGUACAUGCCAAAUCAGUGUAAUGCACAACUUGCCUUUAAUUUCUGGAGAGCCUCAAAAACCUCUUCAUGAAUGCCAUCUUCCACAUUGCUGUUAUUCUUAACUCCUGCUUCUUUGUCCUAAAAUAGCAGAGCAACUUUUGAUGUAUGUCAUAAUUUCUUUUUUAUUUUUGAGAAAUGAAAUACACCGUAAAAAUUAGCUAAAAGUUUUAAUGCAGAGGCAGAUAACAUUAUGCCGAAUGAAAAUGAAAUUAAAUUCUUUUAUUAGCAUAUUCUUUAAUAAGCUGGAAGCUUUUUAAAUUCAAGAAGUUCACCAUGGAUAAGGAUCUUACAUCAAAGUAGAUGCAAAAUAAAAUUUUGAAAAAUGAUAUCGUAUGCUUGGUGAAGGUUCAAAAUUUAACCAAAACACACCUGAUAAACUGCCUGGUAUCCUGGAAAUUCAACUGUUGAUCCCACUGAACGGAAAAUCAUAUCUCCUUCAGGAUUACCAGUAUCAACUUGAAUCUAAAAAUGAAUAAAACAAAGUGAAAGAAACAAGUUCAGCUUAUCAUUUGCUUGAAAAUAAUAUUCGAAAAACAAUCGCUACAAAAAGAAAUGCUCCCAUUCCCAUAGCACUAGACAAAUAUGAGGGUAGAAAGUAAGGAUGUCAAUGGGUAUGGAUACCCGAAAUAUUAUCCGAACCCGAACCAGAACGGGGCGGGUUUACCCGAGCUAAACGGGUAUGGAUUCGGUUAUGGGUAUAGAAAAUAAAAACCCAACGGAUAUGGAUACGGGUAUGGAUUUUGUAUUUACCCGACACGAACCCGAACCCUAACCCGAAUAAAUUAUAUAUAAACAUACUUUAUUUUUAUUUAUUUAUAUAAUAUAUAAAAUAUUUAAUAAUUUUUAUCCCUUAGAUCUUCAUUCAACGGUAGGGAUUUUUAAAACUCGCCGGGUCCGGGUCCAGGUUCAGGUUUCGGGUUUUUGGUCAGGUACGGAUAUGGGUAUGGAUUUUUAAAACCCGCCGGGUUCGGGUCCGGGUACGGGUUUUAAUUUGGUUUUCGGGUUCAGUUUCGGGUUUUUAAAAACCCGACCCGUUGACAUCCCUAGUAGAAAGUAAGCUGGAGCUAAAGACCAAAAACAGGUCAGGAUAAAAUACUACUAGUUGCCAAUCAUCGUACAAAAAUAGUAAUGAGUUCAGACUUCAGAGUAAUAGAAAAGUACAAUUAUAUUAUUCCCCCUGCUAUAGUUAAGCACGGCAUCACAAUCUUUAGCUUAAUAUAUGCUAAAGAUACUGACUACAUAAAUAGAGAGAGAGAGAGAGAGAGAGAGAGAAAGUAAAGCUAGAAUCUAGGUGUCAUGGACACAGACACGGGGCACAACACGACUCCGAAACGGCGACUCGACGACUUCCAAAAAGUUAGGACACGGACACUGCAUAGACAUCGCUAAUAAAAUAUAAUAUUAUUAAUAUAAUAAUAUAUAUUUAUUAGAGUUGAGCUGGAAUACUAUUAAUAGUAUUUGGGCUCUUUUGCUAUUGAUUUUUUAGCCGUUAAAUCUACACUUUAAUCAAUUCUACCAUUUAGAUAAUACUAUUCAACCAACCAACUACCCACUCAACCCUAGGGGGACCACCACUAAAACCUAGGAAACCACUAUCAUCCUAACCCUGUAAUUUUUCAUCCAAGGGUUAAAAACUUAUAGCAAAAGAGCCCAAAUAUUAUUAAUAGUAUUCCAACUCAAUUCUAUUUAUUAUAUAAAAUAUUAAUUUUGCAAAAAUAUUAUUAUAUUUCUCGUACAAAAUGAAAGUUAAUAAAAUUCUCAUUGAUAGUUCAUAUAUUUUAAGAAAAAAAAUUCUCCACCAUACAUAAUCUAUUGACAUUGUCCAAAAAAAUUUAUAUGCAUUUACCAAAAAGGCAAAAUAUUUAUCAUCUUAUAUUACAUAUGCCUAAAAAAAAAAUAAUAUAUAUAUUUAAUGGGAUGCGCCAUGCACCCACGUGGAGCGUAUGCCCAUGGCGUGUCCAUGUCAAACACGAGUUCCACACAGAAGGGCGUGUACACGCAAAGCCUAUAGAAGUGCCUAUGAUACAUAGACUAUCAAUAGCAAAGGAAUAGUACUUACUACCUACUUUUUAGCCUUUGGAUGCCUUGAGUUUAAUGGGGUAAGUGGAAUAGUAUUUGAUCCAAGGGCUACAAAGUUGAUAGUAAACACAUCUACUAUUAAUAGUAGCAUAGAUGGACUUGUAUAGAGUAAAGCUAGAAUACCAUCAAUAGCAAAGGUGUUAAUAGUAGCAUAGGUUAACUUGUAUAGAGUAAAGCUAGAACACCAUCAAUAGCAAAGGUGUUGAUAGUAACAUAGAUGUACUAUCAAUAGUAUCCUAGCUGAACAAUAUAAACAUAUAUACAUAUAUAUGAUUACAAGGAAAAUAGCAAAGACAACUUCAGAAAAUAGCAGAAACCAUAUCUUGUAUUAGACUAACCACAUUAAGGAACAACUUAAAUUAAGAAAUAGAUGUGAGAAAGAGAAGUAGAGGUAAAUAUAGUAUGAUAUAGCAAUUGACUCAUUUGCUUGAAGAACAUGAUUAGAUGGGACUGCGGUGGUGGGAGCAAACAAACCAUAUUGAUUACAGAAGGUUCCAUUUGGCACGCCAUCGUCCGUGUCCAUAUAAGAGUGUACAAUUUUAGAGAAUCAUCAUCAAGUAUUCCAACCAAAGUUGCUGUAAGCAUGAGAACAAGUAAGAACAUUGUCAAUAUUAUGUUGAAAGAGUUGAAUUUGUGCAAAACAACAAGAUGAUGAAUCAAAGGAACUUAUUACAUGGCAGCCUCCUUAUGCUGGUUGGUCUGAUAGCUUCAUGAGCUUCUUGAGCAUUCUUCACCUUUCUGAAGUACUUGCGUAUAUUUUUUGAAGCAUAUUCCUUACCAUACCUGCAAGGGAAAGAAUGAAUUUUCAGUGAAAAGAAUAAAAAGGAAAAUUGAGCAACUAUACUAAAUUACAUCAAAGUUGCAUUACAGGUUAGACUGAAAAAUUACAUAAGUGGUCAGGUUAGGUUAGGUUAGGUUAGGUUUGAGCGGUCUCAGCCUGAACGCAAUUCACUGGUUAUGAAAGAGCCUAAACAAAAACCUGCCCAACUCAAUAUAAGUAGAGAAGCUCUUACAUUCAGUGACUUGCAUCUUCCAAUAACGAUUUAUAAGCAACCCUAUACUACACUUAUACGCUUGUCAUGAUGGGGCAAGUGCAAUGUCUUAAUAAAGUAUCAAAGCUCAGACCUUCAAGUUCCAAAAGCUACAGCGACUGAGGAUAGAACUUCCUAUUUUAGUUCCUCUCCAACUCAACCAUAAGUUGACCUUAAUAAGCCCAUGAAUUCCCGAAUUACAACAGAACACAGAUUCACCCAAUCUGAUAUAUCUACUAGAAAAAAGGAUAACUAUAACAUGUGAGAAGUUAUCACCUUUCUUUUACCAAGGAAUGGAUAUCUUCUGCAGCUUCACUAGAAACCUACAGGAAAAAUGAAAAGAAUUAGAAUAAAGGCAAGCCUUUCAAAAAGAUCAAGUUUUUUCAUAUUAUUUUGGAUCUAAAGUUUGCGAGAUAUAUAACGUCUAAAGGCACUAUGCUCAAUAGUUCCUCACUUCAUCCUAGCAGGAAACCAUUAAACAUCUCAAAGGCAUACAAAUAAAAAGCAUUAUUCUGCAAACGUGUGCUCACUAUAAAAGGCAUUAUUCUGCAAACUUGUGCUCACUACUCUUAUGAAUGCUCAGAACCUCAGACCUUCAAUAGAAAAACCUACAGUGCCCAAAGUUGAAAACAUGUGAUUUGUAUCUAGGAGUAAGCAUAAAAUUUAAGGAAUUUAUUGGGCGUAAUGCAUGUGACUACACAAACAUGCACACUUAUCUGCGAGGAAGUCAUCAUAAACUUCCACCGUCAUGUUAGAGAUUAAGAUAACAGAACGUUGAACUAUCAUAAAUUGAAAACGAAUGCAAUCAAGCAGCUCAAUCCUUAGGGACAACAGAAAAACACAGGGCAUGAAUAUAAACUAUCGGUAAAUGCAGAUCAAGAACAAACAGAUUAAGUUAAAUUGGGUAAUGAAUGGCAAAAAUGAUACCUACAUGUAAUCCAUCAGUUCGCAUGUAUGUUAUCAACCCCGUUGCUUCUUCAUCUGAUAGUUUGACCCCCUCAUACAGCUUCUGAGCCAGCUGCAAUUAAAUGAUGCCGUAAUAAAAAUAGUUCUUCGAUGAAAAAUCCUAUCAUCUUGGGAUAGACUUAAACAAGUAAAAUAUAACUAAAUCAGAUAAUCUUCUGAAAGUCGUUGAGUAAUUUAUGAAUAUUCAAAACGAAACCACUACUAUGAAAUAUUUAGCAAUGUUAAAGAAGCAACCAACCGCAUGUAAGACCUAAGAUUCAAUUGAAAAAUAAUGUGUAGAUGCCAAUAAUACAAGUUAUUGGCAUAGAAACUGAAACUGCAAUUAGCUAAAUGUCAAAUUAAGUAAUACUACAUCUGAAAAACAGAUCAAUCAUAUGUAUCGACUGGCUCCCCUCGAGGUCAAGCCAACAUGAGAAUUGUUUAAAUAGUUUCAAGGUAAAGUGAUAAACAAACAAGACUCUGCUAAUUGGCAUCAUAGGACCCCCUGCUUUUCUCAAAUAGCAAUUCAUGGUCAGAUUGAAAAAAUUAGAUCCCACUAAGGAAAUGAGCCUAUUUUUCAUAAAGAAAAAGGAUGCAAGAGGUCAUUAAAUCUCUGAAGAAUGAGAAACAAACCUUCAUUGUAUAAGCAGCAGUAAAGUGCAGCUUGUUAGCAGAAUCUUGCUGAAGACUUGAUGUUAUAUAAGGCAUGGGAGGAUUUUUAUAAACUUUGCUCAUUUUUACACCUAUCACUUUAAAUUUAGAGGAAGAGGCUCGUUUUUCAAUGGCCUGUGCCUCUGCUUGAGAGCCUACAGAUAGCUGAUCCAAUUUUUUGGAAUCAAAAUGAGUUAAAUAUGAAGAAAUAGAGCUUUUGUUCUUUGAAGAAUCUGAACUUGAAACUUGAAAGUCAACCCCAACACUCCAAUACUCUUGUGGAUUAAAUUGUUCAAUCUCUGUCUCCCUAUCACAUAAAAGUGCCAAGGCUGCAGAUUGGACACGGCCAGCCGACUGGCAACCAGGUAGCUUCCUCCAUAAAAGUGGUGAUAUGCUGAAACCAAUCAAGUAAUCAAGGGCGCGCCGUGCAAGAUAAGCAUUGACCAAAUUCAUAUCUAUAUCUCUGGGAGAGUGCAAAGCACUUUUGACAGAAGCCUCCGUUAUUUCAUAAAAUACGACUCUUGCCACAGUGAUAUUUCCACCUAAGGCAUCUUGUUGUUGUAGCAUUUCAGUGAUAUGCCAAGCAAUUGCUUCACCCUCACGGUCAGGAUCAGAUGCAAGAAUAAGAUUUUCCGCUCUGGGAAGAAGAACGGACGAAUGUAAGAAAAGGGUGAAUCAGAUGCACGACCUUUUUCCACAAAAGAAAUUUCUAAUGAAACCAUUGCAAACAAUGACAAAAUAAAGAAUGAAGAGUAAACUUUAACUACAUGGAGCAUAAAUAAAGGAACAGUCAUUUAGUAGUGGAGCUACCGGGCAGAUGACCUUGCUUAGCGUUCACAAUCUCCAACAGCUGAUUUUUAUGUCCUUAAGUCCAUUAGUUGACGUAUUAAGAAUGCCGAUUUAGUAGCUUUAAUGAACAAUUGCUACCAACAAUGUUGUCGCUGUCAUAGAUAAAUUGUAGAAAUCAUAGGAACGAUCAACUAGAUCAAGGACAAUAGCAUUGUCUUUUUUUAAUAAAAAUUACAAAAAUUACAAUUAAUAAAAACAGAUUUUUACAUAAGAAACAAUUGUCAAAUAUCUUAACUGGUUUAUUCAAUCAGGUUAAAUACAAAAUAAUAGCUCAACAAUGAUGACGGAUGUAAGCAAAUGCAACAGAAGAAAAAAUAAUUCAUUCCUUCAUUGAAAUAUCUGUAAAUGAAACUUUUUUCAUCUUUCAGUUGAAUCAUAUAUGGUAAUACAGAGCAUUACAGUAUGUAAUGAACUGAUUUUCAUUCAGAAAAUCUAUAAAGAAACAAAAUAUGGAGGGGAAUCAUGAAGCUCUAGUUAAUAGUAGUUAGAAAAAGGAUUAUUUCCUUACAAAUCCGUCUACUAAGGUUAGAUGGUAAUGUUGUUGCUUUCUGGUGACAAAGAUAAUUGCUUACUUAUCCCGUUUGAACCUAUAAAAGAGAUUAACUUAUCAUUGCCAUAAAUAUUUAACCUAUAGAGACAUAAUUAAGUUAGAUCCUCUGAUCUAAGGGUUUCACUAUACGUAAAAUAAAUGGAUUCUUUCUACAUUCCAAUUCAGGGAUUAUAACUCUUAUCUUAAGAACCAUUCGCAUAAGAUUUUUUAAAUCCAGAGUGUGAAUCAUACAAAUCCUAAAAAAAAAGUUUCUUACAAUUAUAAACUUAGCCACCAAUUCUUUCAAAAUGAGAUUCGUAUGUAUGCCACAAUUAUGUAGUAUGGUAAAUAAGAACCAACAUAAAGAAGCAUACCCGCUUAAUGCUACCUUAAUGCUCUUAAGAUGUGUCCAGGCAGCAGAAGGCACCUCCCAAACCAUGCUGAAGUCAUCAUCAGUCCUGACUGAUCGUGACCUAGCAGCCAAGUCUCUAACAUGACCAUAACUAGGCAGCACCUCAUACUUAUCCCCUAGAUAAUUCUGGAUGACUCUUGCUUUUGUGACUGACUCCACCACAACAACCGAUUUACCGGUUGGAGGGUAAAGAGGGUGAAGGGAAUUAUGCUGCUUCCUUCCAAACUUUGCACAUUUAACAGAAGAAUUCUGACUGCUAUUUUUAACUUCAUGAGAUGUAAUAGCCACAUUGGCUUUCUGUGCUCUUGAAGAUCUUUUCGAACUUUUAGGCUCCUUUUUAGUUCCAGAAGCACUUUUAGAUGGUAUUUCCUCCUGUUUUGAAACAGGCUUCCAAUUCUUCUUUUCUGGAGUUUUAGUAGCUUUCUUGGUCGGUUCUUUCUUUUCUCUAAGGCCUACAGCAACUUGCUCUCCACUCUGUGCAGCAAUUGCACUUCUGGUAACUGUCUUAUCAGUGCAUGCAACAUCCUUUGCGGAGUUACCGGUGAAUGCAGCAUUCGCCUCUCCAUUAAUACUGGCACAAGUGGCUAGUGAAUUUUCUCGUCUCUUUGAUCCAUGAAGCAGGUGAGAUGCACCAGGACCAUCUUCUGUUUUACUACCUUUCACAACUAAGUUAUCUUGGAAACUCUUUGAUCUGGCCACAAGUUGGAACUUCUUUUUACUCUUGGUUGAAAACAAUCUUUUGUUUCUGUGUUCACGAGCCAUCAAAUUAAAUAUAGGAGUGCUUUCAGAUCCAGAAAUGCCAAUACCGCAACUAUUGAAAUGUCUAAUAGAAUAAGAGGGCAUCUGUUUAAACUGCGGAGAAACUCUAAUAGAAAUCCCAGCAUCCAUCUUUCUCAAUGAAUUAACCUUCAGUAUUAGUUGUACAGGCUUUACAUUGGAACCAUUAAAGCCUAAUGGCGAAUAAGGCAUGCAGCUGCAUGGAAAAUUCUGCAACGCCCUAUAUUGAAGCUGCAACAAGAAACCCAAAGGCGAGACAUUUGAGCACUGAAAUAUUUGCAAUAUUUAGAUAGUUGCGCAUGAGACUGCAAGAAUCCCCAGAAGGACCAACCAUUACUUACAAGCUAUAGUGAGGCAAUAUGACAAACAAGAAAUAGGCAGAAUUACAAACCCCAAAUUUCUUGAAGCCAGCUAUGAUCAAACCCUUUCUACAACUUUAUAUGCAUUAAAUAUGUUGUCAAUGACGAAAAGCUAAUCUCCUAAGAAAAUCCUACAGAGGUUUAAAUCUUUGAAAACCUUACAGAGCUGAUACUAAAGGCUCAAACCUUCAAAGAACAUAGGAUUCUCAUUCGCUUGCCACCAUCGUUCACAAGAAUCACAAAUCAAUACAUCGCAUUCAAGAAACGGGAAAUGAUAAAAAAUGAAAAGCGUAGAUACCAUGGCUGGAGAAGAGAAACUCCUUGGUAAGCAGCUGGGGAAGAAGAGCCUACGAAGCUGGAGCGCCAUGCGAGCCCUCUGAGGAUCCGCUAAAGAUAAGAGAGGGCCCCCGAAGCUAUCACGAAGAAGGAAAAUGAGCGUAAAAACAUUAGCACACGAUUCAAGAAAUGGAGGAGAGAGCUUACAGCUGCAGCGAUGGCGAUGGUCGUACCUGAGGAUAUCUAGGGUUAGGGUUAGGGUUUUGGGGCGGCAUCAGCUGCGGAGCAUCACUACGACGACGGAGGAAGAAGAAACGGGCCAGUGUUCCGAACAGAGAGCGCUCCUCUCUCUCACUCUCUCUCUCUCUCUCUCUCUCCCUCUCUCGGGCGCGGCUUUGGAUACGCGCACAAAUGGAAAGGAGAUAUCGGUUCGUUAGGGGUUUUACUUGUGGCGAGGUUUUUAUACAUGCGGGACCGGGGGCGAAUGGACUGGUCUAGGGUUCCGGUUUAGGUUGAGACGGUUCGACCGGACCGGGUGUUGUAUUUCGGCCGGUUCAGGUUGAGUCGAGAUGUGACUCGAACCUUACUUCCUUGGCGCAACGUGAUCAGUGCGUGCUUGGGGCUUUUUUAUAAAAUGACCCUCUAAAAAAUUGUAAUUGGCAAAAUAAUCAUGUAAAAAUUUUAUUUGUAAAACUAACCCUCCUUUCGCCACGUAGGCGGCACGUCAAGAUUUUCUUAUAAAGACGGUAAAUCGUUCGCCGUUUUCUCUUAUUUCUUUUAUUUUAAAGGCGGUAAAUCGUUCACCGCUUUUUCCCAUUUCUUUUAAAGGCGGUAAAUCGUUCACCUCUUUCUCCCAUUUUUUUAAAAAACGAUAAAUCAUUCACCGCUUUUCACUUAUUUACUGUUCCUUUCUAUAUCCCAUAUAAUCUUAACAACUUUUAAAACCUAAUAAUUUAUCCAUAUAAUUUCAUAUAAAGGCAGUUAAGAUUAUAUGAAAUUAUAUAAAUAAAUUAUUAGGAUUUAAAGAUUGUUAAGAUUAUAUGUAAUUUGUUAGAAUUUUUAUGUGGUUGUUAGGAUUAUAUAAGAAAUAUAGAAAAUAACAAUAAAUAAGUUAUGGAAGAAAACGGUGAAUGAUUCACCGCCUUUAAAAGAAAUGGGAGAACGCGGUGAACGAUUCACCGUCUUUAAAUGAAAUAGGAGAAAAGAGGAUUAAUUUUACAAAUAAAAUUUUGAGUGGAUUAUUUCGCAAAUUUUAAAAUUUUAGAGGGUUGUUUUAUAAAAAAGUCCGCGUGCUUGUCGCUGUUUAAAAAGUGGGCGAAAAUGAGAAUAAAUGAAAAGAAAGAGAUGGAACAAGUGAGCAAGGUUUGCACACUUACUAUUUUAAAUUGUCUUCAUAGUAUUCUUUACAAUUGUAAUGCUUUUAUAUGCAAGUUGUUAUUAAAUUAUAAAUUAUAUCAAAUAAUUUAUCUACUGAUUUGAAUACUUCGGAUAAUGGAUAGGAUAAAUAUUUGGAAUCAAAAAAAAAAAAAGGUUGAAACUAGGCCAAUUUGUAUCUGAUGAGAAUGUGGCGUGGUUAAAAUUACAGAGCAAUACCUAUUUGUACAUGUAAAUUUUAUAAUCUAUUUUAUCUAAAGAUUAAUAUUUUUGCAGUAAACUAGUUAUUUCUUUUAAUAUGAAAAAUUAAAUGAAUAGGUAUAAAUUUUGCACUCUCUAUUUGAGUACACAAGUGGCACUUAAAAUUAUAAUGAGUAAAUAAAUGGUAUAUGCACACCUGAUCAUAUUAUUAUGGAAAGCAUAAAGUUUGAUAGAUGAUCUAUUAAAAUCCUGUUUGUUUAUCCAUCCAUUAUCUCCGAAGCUUCAGAAAUAUCUUUGUAGAUUGAGCUUUAGAAAGUGGAGAAACCUGCUUCAAUUAUUUGCAGCUCCUUCCCAGUGGCGCAUAACAAUAUUACUUUACUGUCUAUUUUGUUCCCAUUUGUCUACCUAUACCAAAUAUAUUAUCUGAGAAUUCUCUCUUAUUCGACAUAUUCUUUAUUUUUAAGUAUGUAAAUAUUUUACCGACUGUCUCUAGCACGAGUGGUAAAAAACUUAGUAGUUGGUAUUCGAGAUCGAAAAUUCAAAGCAUAUUUGCUUUAUAUUUUCAGUUAGAUUCAUUUAUUUAAAAUAAAAUAAUAAAAUAGAUAAAAUGCUAUUUUUCUCUAAAAAAUACAUAUAAUAUUUUUAAUCUAAUAAUUUAUCUCUUAGGCUCAUUCUAAAUAAUAAAAAUAAUAAUAACUAACGUAUAGAGGAGGAAGUUGAGAGUAGAUGAAGUAGAGCUCUAACGUAACUUGAGUUACAUUAUAUUUUUCACCUAGGGGCCUGUUUGUUUCGACGGAAGUGGGGUGGAAGUGGGACGGGGAAAGUGAUUUUCGGUGAAAACUAACCACUUCCGCUGUUUGGUUCACCGUAAGUUUAUUACGCCCGAAAGUUCAGUUCACCCAAAAUAAGGAACUUGACUUCGCCCUCCCAUGGGGCGAAGUCAAUUUCGGUGAAGUGAAAAAAAGGCAAGANAAAAUAUGAUCAAAUUUGAUUAGGUAAACUUUAAUAUAUUUUUUGUUUAAUUUGUAUAUUUAGAAAAUGAUGAAAAAUGAAUUUGUUAAAUGUUAAUAAUUUUUUAACUUUAGAAUUUUAUUUGUUGCAUUAUUAUAAUUUAUAUGCAAACAAAUAAUAUAAUUUUUUAAAAUUUUAUUUUAUAAUUAUACAUAUAUAUAAUUAUAUACAUAUAUAAUUAUAUUAAUUUUUAUUUAUUAUAAUUUAUUAUUCACUAUAAGUUAUAAAAUAGACAAUAAUAUCACUUUGGAGGUAAGUAUACCGGGGGUGGAGAGCUACACUUUUUACGUCAUCUACUUCCUACCAAACAAACAACAGAACUCGCAGAACUGCACUUCCACAGUUAAAAACAAACAGCAGAAGUAAACUAAUUUUCACCCCAACUCCACUUCAACCCAAAGUCCACUUCCACCCCAAGUCUACUUACGUUGAAACAAAUAUGCCCCUAUACAAAAACAAAUAACGAAAGUGAUGGAACUUGAGUUCCAUCACUCCACUUACACCAAAACAAAC